UACGUAGGCAGCAAGCGUUGUUCGGAAUUACUGGGCGUAAAGAGUGUGUAGGCGGUGUUCUAAGUCUGGUGUGAAAUCUCCCGGCUCAACUGGGAGGGUGCGCUAGAAACUGGAAUGCUAGAGGAUGGGAGAGGUAAGCGGAAUUCCUGGUGUAGCGGUGAAAUGCGUAGAUAUGCGGAGGAACACCGAUGGCGAAGGCAAUACCCUGGGCCUGCACUGACGCUCAUGCACGAAAGCGUGGGGAGCAAACAGG
rnacentral:rRNA from 1 species